ACUCUUAACCAUUCUAUAGAAUCAGCACCCAUCUUUGAGUCAGAGUUUGAGAUGCAAAUCCUUUACUGUAUAGCCUUGAUCAAAUGACUUCACCUCAUUGAAUUAAUCUUCUUCUGCAUAAAAUGGGGUCACCAUCUGCUUAUCUAAAUUGUUACAAAUGGGACAGUAUAUGUGCCAUUCCAGAUACCUAAUCACAGCUCAAUCGAUGCUGGUGUCUUUUUCCUUUUUCCUUCUGCAGAAAACAUGCUUUACAUAGGAUCUCUGAACUUAAAGAAUGGGAAGAAGAAAAAUCAUGUUUCCAGCUUGGGCUGCUGUUUCAUCUGUUGGACUUGCUUGAUCCCUGAAUGGAAAGGAAUGCUAUGCACACUUUUUGGAUACAGGAAGUGAGAUUCAGAGGGGUUAAACAGCUUUCCUAAAGCCACACAGCGAGAGAGUCGAUCUGAACUGAAGAUUGUUUGACAUCAAAGCUCAUUUCUUUCCCUAAAUGUCAGCAUUCUUUCCUGACUUAUUAAUUUGAUUUCUGUCCUCCCCUCAUGGAAGUUAAUUAAAGGAAUGCGAGAACCUUUUAGAAAAUCUCC
rnacentral:lncRNA from 1 species